CCCGCUGGAACUUAAGCAUAUCAAUAAGCGGAGGAAAAGAAACCAACAGGGAUUGCCUUAGUAACGGCGAGUGAAGUGGCAAAAGCUCAGAUUUGAAAUCUGAUGUCAAUCUGGCAUCUGAGUUGUAAUCUGUAGAGGAGUAUUCAAGUAUGAUUUUGGCAUAAGUCUCUUAGAAUAGAGCAUCACAGAAGGUGAGAAUCCUGUCUAUAGUCAAAGUUUUAAUACUUAUAUGAAUCUCCUUCAAUGAGUCGAGUUGUUUGGGAAUGCAGCUCUAAAUUGGUGGUAAAUUCCAUCUAAAGCUAAAUAUUGGCAAGAGACCGAUAGUGCACAAGUAGAGUGAUCGAAAGAUGAAAAGAACUCUGAACAGAGAGUUAAAUAGUACGUGAAAUUGUUGAAAGGGAAGCACUUGCAACUAGAUAUAUUUAUAACUAAUCAAUUACUAUUUACUAGUAGUGCACUUAGUUGUAAAUAGGUCAAUAUGAGUUAUGAUCAGCAGGAAAAAGAUUGAUGGAAUGUAGCUCUCUUCGGGGAGUGUUAUAGCCAUUUAUUAAAUACUGUUAGUUAUUACUGAGGGCAGCACUGAAUAAGUAAGGAUAUUGGCAUAAUGGUUGUAAGUGACCCGUCUUGAAACACGGACCA
rnacentral:rRNA from 1 species